AUACGGAAGGUGCAAGCGUUAAUCGGAAUUACUGGGCGUAAAGCGCACGCAGGCGGUUUGUUAAGUCAGAUGUGAAAUCCCCGGGCUCAACCUGGGAACUGCAUCUGAUACUGGCAAGCUUGAGUCUCGUAGAGGGGGGUAGAAUUCCAGGUGUAGCGGUGAAAUGCGUAGAGAUCUGGAGGAAUACCGGUGGCGAAGGCGGCCCCCUGGACGAAGACUGACGCUCAGGUGCGAAAGCGUGGGGAGCAAACAGGAUUAGAUACCCUGGUAGUCCACGCCGUAAACGAUGUCGACUUGGAGGUUGUGCCCUUGAGGCGUGGCUUCCGGAGCUAACGCGUUAAGUCGACCGCCUGGGGAGUACGGCCGCAAGGUUAAAACUCAAAUGAAUUGACGGGG
rnacentral:rRNA from 1 species